ensembl:lncRNA
UUCUUAACUUUCAGAUUUAGGGAAUUUGAACAGACCCUAGUAGGAAGGCCAAAUUGGACUGGUUGAAAUAGAUAAAUCUUCAUUAUAGCCUUUUAGCCGAAGUGCCCAAAUAUUAUAGUUGUGCUCUCAGUCCUCAAAUGAUCAUUUCCAUAUACUCGAAGGAUCACAGUCUUAGAGUUGUUAGUGCACAGGUACUUCAAGGAUAACUUAAGCCAAACUGCUCGAGUCAAUAAUGAGAAGAUGAAGCCAAAGGGGCUCAGUCACAGGAUUUGCUUCGGCUAAAGAAACACAUGCAGAAGUGGCAUGGAUCUGUCCAGGAGAAGCUUGAGAGUCAAGGCAAGAUGAGCCUUAUGGAAGAGCCUCUUUCACAAGCUGGAUAGCAGGUCCCUCUGAUCUGGAAUUGUGGUAUGAUUCUCACUUGUAUCCUUGGGGAGCUGCUCUCCAACCUCCUCCAGUGGAGAGACUGUCCAGGUGCAUCUUGGGAAAGCAAGAUGAAGUUUGGCAAGGAGAGUCUUCACCCACAUAGAGGUUCUGGCCUCAGAUUGGAGCCUUUACAACAGGCCAUCUGUCUCGAGUUGUCAAUCCCUAAACUCUUCAGGGAUCAGAGAAAUGGGCUGCUUCGUUCUGAGUCUUAUGCUAAUGUGUCUCCUGACACAGGGUUUGUAAAAGCAGAGAAA